UGUCAGGGAGCCAUCGAGUAAAGCAGGUCAAAGCUGGUGGGACCUCAGGGGUCAUUUCAUCACAGUUCUCAUCCCAUAGGCGGCAGCAGCAGCCCUGAGGCCCAGGCGUGACGUGGCCUGGGCAGGUAGCAGGAGCAGAAGCGGCACUAGAGUCCUGGUCACUCCUGGGUGGCCCAACCCCCUGAAUGCUACACCGUGGUCCUCCCGAGACAGAGGAGGGCGUUCAGCCACUGAACCAACAGUAACACAAUCAUGUUGUGCCCUGAAGGGGAAACAAGAAAAGGCAAGUAACUGCUGUAUUCCAUCAUUACUGGGGCUUCAAUGAAGACAGAUUCAAAAGGAGGAAAGAUGUUUAUGAAGUGUCCGCUGCGUGUCUGACCUGUUCUGAGCACUGGGAACAAAGCCGUGAACAAGACGGAAAGAUCCCUCCCUACAGGAUCCGUACGUCCUAACACAGCGGGACGAACGCCGACGUCAACUGGUACCUGGUCUGAUUACCAAGCAGCCAAGGAGGCCUCGGGGUGUCUUGGAGGCUGGAACCAUCAGCCCGGGGUGAGCUACGAGCGCUUUACAUGAGCUGCUCCCAGGUGAGAGGUCGGGGUCAGGCCCCCCCAGCCCCCCGCCGGCUCCACCCAGGUGAGCCCUGAGCUGCUCCCAGGUGAGCCCUGUGUGUGUGGAGAGGCGGAUCUGGAGGAUCCCACGCUCAGGCCGGUAAGCUCCGGGAGGGCAGGGAUCGGGUCUCUUCUCGGAUUCAUGGUGCAUGGUGCCUGGCUCCUCUGACCACUGGGAGGGGACAGGCGAGGCCAGAGGCUGGAGACGGCGGUGGCCGUGAAGGUAGGAACCCCAAGGGCUCGGGGAGGAGGUGGAGGUGCCACUGGGGUGAGGCUGGGGCAGGUGUGGGGGGCGGCGGGCUAGGGGCAGCCCCAUGUCGUUACCUUCUCCCCUGCAUCUUUGGGUUAGAAAUACCUCGUUGGGUGCAGAAGGCGUUGAUUAGGAAGGACUUUCCCCUCCGUACAAUGGAGGCUCCUGUGACCAUCUUGCUUUACAAAAAGUAUUUCACAGAUGGACGUGUGAAUGAAUAAAUGAAUGAAUGAAUGAGAAUCAGCUGGUCUGAUUCUCAGUAGAUGUAGAAGCAAAUUAUGGCCACUUGACCCAGGAGGAUAUUCAAGGGAACUGGCUCUUUCCUGAGGACAAGGGCGGGCUAUUUCCUGUCUGGGCCUCAGUUUCCCUGUGGGUAAAAUGAAAGGGUAUCUAAAUAAUCUUAAAGAACAUCUCAGGAGAUAAGCACGAGAGACUAGGCUGUGUGUCUUGCAACGUCCUAAAGGGAAAGUGGGGAAAAUCCUAUUACUCAGCGGUGGGAGGGGCACCCACUGGGACUCUCACCUGGAGCAGGUGGGCCUUGGAAUCCUUCCUCAUUGGUUUCUUCCCUCACCUUGGCCUCCCGGCCCCUGCCUGACUCUCCAACCCCACCUUUCUACCAAGUAGGUUAGAGCCUCAGUGAGCAUGACAGGGACCUCAAAUUACAGUGGCUUAAAUAAGACAAUUUAUUUCUUUUUUGCAUGAAAUCCAAGCCCGUAGGGUGAUUCUUCUCUGUAGUUUUCAGGGUCUCAGGCUCCUUCCACCUUGCUGCUCUGUCACCCUUGGGGUGUGGCUUCUCCCACAAGGUGGAUCACAUCCCAGUGUCUGGCCAGCAGGGAGGGGCAGAGGGGACAGAUGGGCACAAGCCUUCCCUUUAAGGGUGGGGCCCAGCAGCUGAGCACACAGUUCUCUUUCCCACUGGCCACAGCCCAGUCGCAUGACCACCCCUGACUGCAAAGGGGGCUGAGAAGUGCAGUCUUCAUUGUGCCCGGCUGUGUGCCCAGGAAACAGGCUGUUACUGGGAGGGGACAGUGGAUGUUGGGAGACGAUAUCCCAGUUGGCUCACACUGCUCCGGCCUGCGGGGACCAACUGUCCUGCUUUGCUGAGGCAUUUCUUUGGACACAGAACUUGCAGUGCUAGACCUGGGAUAGUCAUAGGAGGAACUGUCCACGCUGGCUUCUUUUCUUAUCCCCAAACGGGCCCAGCAUGUUCCUGCCUCAGGGCCUUUGCAUGUGCUGUUACCUCUGUCUGGAACACACUUUCCACAACUCCUUCCAUUCAGAAAGGAUUACUGGGUGCCCACCUCAUGUAUGAGCCGCUGUUCUAAACACUACAUGCCAGGCGCAGAGUGAAAAUUCCAACCAUGCUUUUAACAUAACAAGGAUAAUUCUUUCUACUCCUCCCUGGUCACUUUUGUUUCCAAAUCUGUGUGGCUUAGUAAUUUUUAUUACCUGCAGCUCAGAAAGGAACACCUCCUUCCCUAAGGCUCUGGCUGGGCUCUCACACAGUCUGAUAAAUCUUAUGUUAAUAAUAACCCGAAAGAACAUAUAUUAAAUUCUAAGAUUAUGAUCUAGGAAACAAGGAUUUUGAAGAGAUGUGUAAGCCUAAUCAAAGGAAAUGUGGGGUGGAGAAAGUUUUAUUAAAUAGAACCACACCUCUUGGGUGGGUUCAUUGGUACAGUCUUUCCGGAGGGCAGUUUGGCACUAUAUGUAGCAACUGCAACUGCAAAUGCACAACUUCGGGCCCCAAAGUCCAUUUAUAGGAAUUUAUCCCAAUGAAAUAAUAAGAAAAAUAUGCAAAGGUGGAUCUCUAAGGACUUCUGUAAGAGGAAAAAGUAUAAAAGCCUAAAUGUCUGAGGCUGGGAAGCACAGAGUGCUCUCCUCUGCCCUGACACCAACAGGCACUUCAGAUGAGGAAACGGAGGCAGAGAGAGUUUAAGCAACUUACCCAAGGUCACACAGCAGGCAGUGGCAGAGCUGGAUUUGAACCAGGGAGGUGACUCCAGAGCCCAUACUGUUCCCCAGUCGGCUCUGCCACCUCCUGGGCCGCAAGAGGGAAUGAGAAUGUCUUCCCGGGAACAAUAUCGAGAUUUCUCUGGGAGCCCGUGUCCCCGCGUUCUGCUCUUCCCAGCGCCCAUCAGGUCAGAAUUUACCACGGUGACUUCCGGCUCUUGUUUCUCUUCUGUGAGCCUCCCUGGAGCGCCGGCUCCCCCAGCACGGGACCCCGUUUCCCGAUGCACCCCAGCUCGAGCCCAGCGUGGUGCACAGUAGGGACUCACCUGUUGGGAGGAUGUCUGGGGUGGGGGGAGGUCUGCCGCACAGGGGUGAGCCCCAGAGAGCAGCACGGCAGGGGGAGGGGCUCCUCUUUCCGAAAGUCCCCGAGUCCCCUGGCCCCGCCCACCACGUGCCCCCUGCCUGGCUUCCUGCAGCCGCCCCUGCGUCGCCCCUGAGGGUCCCAGCUGCCAGGCUGGGCUGUGUGGGAGCCCCAGAGACCGGAGGGGCUGGAAAUGAACGCCCCGGGGGGCCCAGGCCUGAUGGAGUUGGGGCCGCCCCCGGCUCUCUUGGGUGCGGUUCCUGUUUGUGCUGCGCGCGCCCCAGCGGGACUGGCCUCUUGUUUCCCACGGACGUAGCUUGCUGGAGGUGGGCACACGCCCCUUCCCAAGAACCUCAGGCCCAUCUUCUGACUGCGCUCUGGGGCUGGACUCCACGGGCUGCAGACACCCCUCGGCUGGUUCCCAGAGGAACAGGCAGAAUGCUCAUCGCCCCCUUCCCUGUCUGGUCUCCCUGCCCCACACGCCCGAGCGGUAAUGUUUGUGAUCAGCCCCCAGAGGAAAUCCUUGGACUUGAAGCCUUGCCUCGGGGUCGGCUUCUGGAGAAACCAAAACAGAGACAGAGGAUGGAGGGCUUUCUUGUGGUCUGUGUUUACAUUCUGUGCAUGUGAUGCGUGUAUGUACGUAUGUAUUUUCCCUGAGUUGGGGUGGAUUUGCAAGACCAAAAAAUGGGUACAAACCGGUGUCGAGGGUUUGCUAUGGCAGGCGGCAAGGAUGUGGUUCCCCUCCCAUCCUCAUAACGGGGCGGGGGAGGGGAUUGCAGGACAAAGAAGGCCGCCGUGAGGGAAAAUGGUGGGGGGGAGGCAAGGACAGUGAAUGGAGGGGGGAGAGGAAGGAGAAAAGGGGGGAUGGGUGCCCGUGAGAGAGAGGAGGGAGCGAGGGGGGUCUUGAUGGGGCCAGAGGAGCAGCUUCCUCGGUGCUGAGUCAGCAGCCGCCCUGACUCAGAAACUCGAAUUGUCCGUCCAGUGACCCCUCAGGCCUCACGGUCUCUGUUAGAACAUGAAAGGUGUCCAGCAGAUCCUUGGGGCCAUUCAGUUUUCAUCCCGUAUGUGUGGGGCUGUGCGUGCGAACUUACACACAUGCACAAUCACACACACACGUGCCCUGUCUCACCCCUACACACUCGCCGCUCAGACAGCAAGUCAGUGUCAUUAAAAUGCCAGGCCAUGCCUCUGCCUCCUCGCAGAGCCCACGUGACCCUGCUGAUCAGAGGAGGCCACGAGUCCGGAGGGUGAGCCCUGGCAUCGGUCCACUGCUCUCCAUGGCAACCUGGCUGAUACCUGUUUGUAAGUUUAAAAGCUCCAGGACUACAGGAGCUCUCACGUUACUUCACGCAGAUCAGCUGUUCACUAUUCAGUGCUCUCACUGUUAGGCGAGGCGGCGGGGCACAAAAUUGGCAUGUGCUCUGCGUGUGUGUGUGUGUGUGUGUGUGUGUGUGUGUGUGUGUGAGUGAGUCUGGUACACAGUUGAGAUGAGGGUCUGGGGGCAAAAUAGCAUUAAAAACACAGUCAGUAGUAAUUGGAUUAUAGUUGUUGAUUGCAUUCAAAGUACUUAACACAGUGUAUUAAUCCUAAAGAUAUAUUACAUCCAGUGAAUUCUGAAGUGUCUCACUGAUAGAACAUGGGCUGUAAGAAGAAAGAACACCCUUGCAAACCUGAUCAAAUCUCCCAUGCGGUGCUGAAGGCGCUGGUGGACGGAGGGAUUAACAUCCAGCAGGUCUGAAAGCCAGUGUCCCCACGGGCCCGGCAGGUAACAAAGGAGUGAAGAGGGCUAGACCAGCCACCAGCCCGCACUUCCUGAGGGAUUCCCGCCCGCCAGACGCGGUCCAAGCCGGUUCCGGACGCUGACUCAGCCAGUCCCCCAGCCCUGUGCACCAGGAGGGACACACUCGACACAUCUGCUGCUGGUUUGGGUCCACAGCGUGACCUCUGACUCACUGAGAGAAAAUCCUUCUGGAAAGUCGUGAGCAUCAAGUAACGGUGGACAACACACACUUGGGGUGAGGCACUGUGCGAAGUGUGCUAACCCAUCAUCCUGACAGCAGCCCCGUGAGGUGGGGGCUAUUAUUUCCUCCAUUCUAUAGAUAAGGAAACAGGCACAGAGAGAUUUCACCCAGCUAGUAAGUGGCAGAGGUGUGAUUUGAACCCAGGUAGCCUGGCACCAGAGUCCAUGCCCUUAAUCACUCAUUACAGGGGCUCCUAAUGACCCCCAGGCUGCAAGCGCAGGGACUUUUGUGCAGGGGACGGUAGAGCCUGUUUCUCUCUGGGUCCUGCAGGGCCUGCUGGGAAGGGCGGGUUGCCGUGACUGCCUCUGCCGGGAGCCCCACCCCUGGCCCCUCCCACGAUCUGCUCCUUCUCCUCCAGGACUCAGGGCCAAUGUCCCCUCCUCAUUCCCUGAGUCCCUAUUCAGGUCCACCCCCGCCCGCCACUCCAUCACUUCAGCCUGGUUAAAGUUCUUCCCAGUACACGUCUCACUCUCUGGAAUCGUCUGCAGGGUUGCCUUGAUUUCUUGCUCACUGUGUGUCUCCCGUCACGAGGGCAAGGUCUGGGCUGCAUCCCCAGGGCCUGGAACCGUGCCCGGCACAGAGCAUGGGCUCCCCAGCACCUGUGGGAUGGAUGACAUGCGCGCGGAGAAAUCCCCAAGGUCACCCCCAACCUGCUCACUCGACAGAGGACGUGUGCCCUGCCCCCCCGGCUGCACUGCCACGUGGACACACGUCCUGGGCACACAUGACACAGGUCAUCAUCGACCCUCCAGCAAGAACGAAGCCGUGUGUGCCCAAGACUCAGCUCAGACCCCAGAUCCCACUUCAUGUUCUGAGGAGUGAUGAUGAGCCACGGGCUGUGGUGGAAUAAAAACCUGGGAGAUUUGCUUCCCUUGUCACAUCCUGAGCUCAAACCAGGUGGCGUCCUUAGGAGCUGACAGUCGGUGGCGUUGAAGAAAAGAGUCACGGUCACAGGAGGAAGCUUUUCUCCCAGGAGGGGACUGUGGGGACUUUGUGCCCAUGAGGUCUUGGCGGGGACGUUCCUAGAGCCUACUUGAGUCCUCUCUACCGGCCAGUGGCUUUAACUGCAGAGGCGCCUGGAGACAGAUGGGCGUGCAGGUCCCGGGCCUGGGGCUCCGGCCUCUUAGCGCCGUGUCCUCUGGAGAGUGUCUUGGAUGAAGUCUCCUUUUUCUUCAUCUUUGCAACUGGAAGAAAGGUCCUGUCCUGACUGCUCCCAGGUGUGUUGGGGAAGCAUUCAAACUGACGGACACCAGGACUCUGCAGUGUGUGUAGCUGCUCUACACGUGCAAAUUAUUCCGGAAUUCUCCUGUUUCUAGUCCAUGCCGUGUCUUCAUGCCCGUUUCUAGUCCAUGCUGCAAAGGCAGUUUCCUCUGUCGCCAAGGCUGCUACAGUACUGUUGACUAAACUCUGCACUUUUUUCUGAUUUCACUAGUUUUCCCUGAAGUCCUUUUUCUGUUCUACAGUCCCAUUCAGGACACCAAUUAUAUACACGAUGCGGUUCAAACUAACUUUUUUGAACGUGACCGAACAUUAGAAAUACAUUUUAUAUCACAAGACAAUGUACAUCUUUACGUAAUCCGAAUAUUAAGAACACGCUACUUAGUUUUGCCAACUGGGAUAGACUCUGGUAUUUUCUAUUCUAUUCUGUUCCAUUCCAUUCCACUGUAUUCCAAUUCAUCCCAUCCCAUCUCAUUCUAUUCCAACAUAAAAAUACUCUUCAAGAUGUGAUAAAAUGAACUCAAAAACGGAUCCGUUAGUACCUGCAGUUUAAAAACUCAUCUUGCAUAAGGAGGCUCUCUCAUUGAUUUUGCACAAGUCAUAAUUCUGUUUAUCUUCUGGACCUACUGUGAGCUCCUUGCACUACGGGAUGGUGUCCUUCUUCCUUGGGCCCUGACGCCGCACACUGUUCCUAGUUCAGUGUUUCAUAAAUGCCCACUGCCUGGA